rnacentral:rRNA from 1 species
GAUGAACGCUGGCGGCGUGCCUAAUACAUGCAAGUCGAGCGAACAGACGAGGAUCUUGCUCCUCUGACGUUAGCGGCGGACGGGUGAGUAACACGUGGAUAACCUACCUAUAAGACUGGGAUAACUUCGGGAAACCGGAGCUAAUACCGGAUAAUAUAUUGAACCGCAUGGUUCAAUAGUGAAUGACGGUUUUGCUGUCACUUAUAGAUGGAUCCGCGCCGCAUUAGCUAGUUGGUAAGGUAACGGCUUACCAAGGCAACGAUGCGUAGCCGACCUGAGAGGGUGAUCGGCCACACUGGAACUGAGACACGGUCCAGACUCCUACGGGAGGCAGCAGUAGGGAAUCUUCCGCAAUGGGCGAAAGCCUGACGGAGCAACGCCGCGUGAGUGAUGAAGGUCUUCGGAUCGUAAAACUCUGUUAUUAGGGAAGAACAAAUGUGUAAGUAACUAUGCACGUCUUGACGGUACCUAAUCAGAAAGCCACGGCUAACUACGUG